GGGGUCCCUAUGGAAGGCCAGCGUGCCGGGACCUUGGCUCUAGACUGCUUACUGCGAAAUCCAAGGGGCGAAACAGUAACAGUCCACAGUCAUGGCUACUGACGGCUGGCGGUGGCAACCUUGUCCUC
rnacentral:pre_miRNA from 11 species